rnacentral:rRNA from 1 species
CCUACGGGAGGCAGCAGUGGGGAAUAUUGCGCAAUGGGCGAAAGCCUGACGCAGCGACGCCGCGUGAGGGAUGAAGGUCUUCGGAUCGUAAACCUCUGUCAGCAGGGAAGAACGGUCACUGUGCUAAUCAGCAGUGAAUUGACGGUACCUGCAAAGGAAGCACCGGCUAACUCCGUGCCAGCAGCCGCGGUAAUACGGAGGGUGCGAGCGUUAAUCGGAAUUACUGGGCGUAAAGCGCUCGUAGGCGGUAUGUCAAGUCAAGGGUGAAAUCCCCGCGCUCAACGUGGGAACUGCCUUUGAUACUGGCAAACUGGAGUGUGGGAGAGGAUAGUGGAAUUCCAGGUGUAGGAGUGAAAUCCGUAGAUAUCUGGAGGAACAUCAGUGGCGAAGGCGACUAUCUGGAACGUAACUGACGCUGAGGAGCGAAAGCGUGGGUAGCAAACAGGAUUAGAUACCCUAGUAGUC